GCUUGCUACUUUUGCCGGCGAGCGGCGGACGGGUGAGUAGCUGGGAAAUUGCCCAGUCGAGGGGAUAACAGUUGGAAACGACUGCUAAUACCGAUACGCCCUACGGGGGAAAGCAGGGGGACCUUCGGGCCUUGCGCGAUUGGAUAUGCCCAGGUGGGAUUAGCUAGUUGGUGAGGUAAUGGCUCACCAAGGCGACGAUCCCUAACUGGUCUGAGAGGAUGAUCAGCACACUGGAACUGAGACACGGUCCAGACUCCUACGGGAGGCAGCAGUGGGGAAUAUUGCACAAUGGGGGAAACCCUGAUGCAGCAUGCCGCGUGUGUGAAGAAGGCCUUCGGGUUGUAAAGCACUUUCAGCGAGGAGGAAAGGUCAGUAGCUAAUAUCUGCUGGCUGUGACGUUACUCGCAAGAAGAAGGCACCGGUAACUCCGUGCCAGCAGCCGCGGGUAAUACGGAGGGUGCAAGGCGUUAAUCGGAAUUACUUGGGGCGUUAAGGCACGCAGGCGGGUUGGAUAAGUUAGAUGUGAAAAGCCCCGGGGUCAAACCUGGGGAAUUUGGCUUUUAAACUUGGUCCAAGUUAAGAGUCCUGGUAAAGGGGGUU
rnacentral:rRNA from 1 species